rnacentral:rRNA from 1 species
ACAUGCAAGUCGAACGAUGAAGCCUUUCGGGGUGGAUUAGUGGCGAACGGGUGAGUAACACGUGGGCAAUCUGCCCUUCACUCUGGGACAAGCCCUGGAAACGGGGUCUAAUACCGGAUAACACUCUGUCCCGCAUGGGACGGGGUUAAAAGCUCCGGCGGUGAAGGAUGAGCCCGCGGCCUAUCAGCUUGUUGGUGGGGUAAUGGCCUACCAAGGCGACGACGGGUAGCCGGCCUGAGAGGGCGACCGGCCACACUGGGACUGAGACACGGCCCAGACUCCUACGGGAGGCAGCAGUGGGGAAUAUUGCACAAUGGGCGAAAGCCUGAUGCAGCGACGCCGCGUGAGGGAUGACGGCCUUCGGGUUGUAAACCUCUUUCAGCAGGGAAGAAGCGAAAGUGACGGUACCUGCAGAAGAAGCGCCGGCUAACUACGUGCCAGCAGCCGCGGUAAUACGUAGGGCGCAAGCGUUGUCCGGAAUUAUUGGGCGUAAAGAGCUCGUAGGCGGCUUGUCACGUCGGAUGUGAAAGCCCGGGGCUUAACCCCGGGUCUGCAUUCGAUACGGGCUAGCUAGAGUGUGGUAGGGGAGAUCGGAAUUCCUGGUGUAGCGGUGAAAUGCGCAGAUAUCAGGAGGAACACCGGUGGCGAAGGCGGCUCUCUGGGCCAUUACUGACGCUGAGGA